UACGUAGGGGGCAAGCGUUGCCCGGAAUCAUUGGGCGUAAAGAGCGUGUAGGCGGCCCGGUAAGUCCGUUGUGAAAGUCCAGGGCUCAACCCUGGAAAGCCGAUGGAUACUGCCGGGCUAGAGUUCGGAAGAGGCGAGUGGAAUUCCUGGUGUAGCGGUGGAAUGCGCAGAUAUCAGGAGGAACACCUAUAGCGAAGGCAGCUCGCUGGGACGACACUGACGCUGAGGAGCGAAAGCGUGGGGAGCGAACAGG
rnacentral:rRNA from 1 species